rnacentral:rRNA from 1 species
AGUGAACGCUGGCGGUAGGCCUAACACAUGCAAGUCGAACGGCAGCACAGUAAGAGUUUGCUCUUACGGGUGGCGAGUGGCGGACGGGUGAGGAAUACAUCGGAAUCUACUUUUUCGUGGGGGAUAACGUAGGGAAACUUACGCUAAUACCGCAUACGACCUAUGGGUGAAAGUAGGGGAUCUUCGGACCUUGCGCGAUUGAAUGAGCCGAUGUCGGAUUAGCUAGUUGGCGGGGUAAAGGCCCACCAAGGCGACGAUCCGUAGCUGGUCUGAGAGGAUGAUCAGCCACACUGGAACUGAGACACGGUCCAGACUCCUACGGGAGGCAGCAGUGGGGAAUAUUGGACAAUGGGCGCAAGCCUGAUCCAGCCAUACCGCGUGGGUGAAGAAGGCCUUCGGGUUGUAAAGCCCUUUUGUUGGGAAAGAAAAGCAGCAGGUUAAUACCCCGCUGUUCUGACGGUACCCAAAGAAUAAGCACCGGCUAACUUCGUG